ACGUGCCCAGUCGUGGGGGAUAACUACGCGAAAGCGUAGCUAAUACCGCAUACGAUCUACGGAUGAAAGCGGGGGACCGUA
rnacentral:rRNA from 1 species